GCACCGGUGGUGUAUGGAACACGCGCAGAUCUGAUGAAGAUGCAUUGUUGGCCCACUUGGCGGCGAGACGGGGUUCGAUUCCCCGCUGGUGCA